GGGACGAACGCUGGCGGCGUGCUUGACACAUGCAAGUCGAGCGGAAAGGCCCUUCGGGGUACUCGAGCGGCGAACGGGUGAGUAACACGUGAGUAAUCUGCCCCUAGCUCUGGGAUAGCUCCGGGAAACCGGGAUUAAUACUGGAUACGACCACCUUAGACAUCUUUUGUGGUGGAAAGAAUUUCGGCUAGGGAUGAGCUCGCGGCCUAUCAGCUUGUUGGUGGGGUAACGGCCUACCAAGGCGACGACGGGUA
rnacentral:rRNA from 1 species